rnacentral:rRNA from 1 species
CCUACGGGUGGCUGCAGUGGGGAAUAUUGGACAAUGGGGGCAACCCUGAUCCAGCCAUGCCGCGUGUGUGAAGAAGGCCCUCGGGUUGUAAAGCACUUUCAGUGAGGAAGAACGCCUGGUGGUUAAUACCCAUCAGGAAAGACAUCACUCACAGAAGAAGCACCGGCUAACUCCGUGCCAGCAGCCGCGGUAAUACGGAGGGUGCGAGCGUUAAUCGGAAUUACUGGGCGUAAAGCGCGCGUAGGUGGCUUGAUAAGCCGGUUGUGAAAGCCCUGGGCUCAACCUGGGAACGGCAUCCGGAACUGUCAAGCUAGAGUGCAGGAGAGGAAGGUAGAAUUCCCGGUGUAGCGGUGAAAUGCGUAGAGAUCGGGAGGAAUACCAGUGGCGAAGGCGGCCUUCUGGACUGACACUGACACUGAGGUGCGAAAGCGUGGGUAGCAAACAGGAUUAGAUACCCUGGUAGUC